rnacentral:rRNA from 1 species
GACGAACGCUGGCGGCGCGCCUAACACAUGCAAGUCGAACGAGCGAGAGAGAGCUUGCUUUCUUGAGCGAGUGGCGAACGGGUGAGUAACGCGUGAGGAACCUGCCUCAAAGAGGGGGACAACAGUUGGAAACGACUGCUAAUACCGCAUAAGCCCACGGUGCCGCAUGGCACAGAGGGAAAAGGAGCAAUCCGCUUUGAGAUGGCCUCGCGUCCGAUUAGCUAGUUGGUGAGGUAACGGCCCACCAAGGCGACGAUCGGUAGCCGGACUGAGAGGUUGAACGGCCACAUUGGGACUGAGACACGGCCCAGACUCCUACGGGAGGCAGCAGUGGGGAAUAUUGCACAAUGGGGGAAACCCUGAUGCAGCGACGCCGCGUGGAGGAAGAAGGUCUUCGGAUUGUAAACUCCUGUUGUUGGGGAAGAUAAUGACGGUACCCAACAAGGAAGUGACGGCUAACUACGUG